rnacentral:rRNA from 1 species
UACGGAGGGUGCAAGCGUUAUCCGGAUUCACUGGGUUUAAAGGGUGCGUAGGCGGGUUGGUAAGUCAGUGGUGAAAUCUUCAAGCUUAACUUGGAACUGCCGUUGAUACUAUCAAUCUUGAAUGUUGUGGAGGUAAGCGGAAUAUGUCAUGUAGCGGUGAAAUGCUUAGAUAUGACAUAGAACACCGAUAGCGAAGGCAGCUUGACUACACAAAAAUUGACGCUGAGGCACGAAAGCGUGGGGAUCAAACAGGAGUUAGAAUGAUCCCCAAGAGUCCCCAAGU